AAUCAACGCUGGCGGCGUGCCUCAGACAUGCAAGUCGAACGAUUAAAGCUCUCUUCGGAGAGUGCAUAAAGUGGCGCACGGGUGAGUAACACGUAAGUAAUCUACCUUCGAGUGGGGAAUAACGUCCGGAAACGGACGCUAAUACCGCAUAAUGCAGCGGCACCUAAUGGUGACAGUUGUUAAAGGAGCAGUCCGCUUGAAGAGGAGCUUGCGGCAGAUUAGGUAGUUGGUAAGGUAAUGGCUUACCAAGCCUGCGAUCUGUAACCGGUCUUAGAGGACGGUCGGUCACACUGACACUGAAUAACGGGUCAGACUCCUACGGGAGGCAGCAGUCGGGAAUUUUGGGCAAUGGGCGAAAGCCUGACCCAGCAACGCCGCGUGAAGGAUGAAGUAUUUCGGUAUGUAAACUUCGAAAGAAUGGGAAGAAUCAAUGACGGUACCAUUUAUAAGGUCCGGCUAACUACGUGCCAGCCGCCGCCGUAAAAC
rnacentral:rRNA from 1 species